UGUGCCUGCAACAAAGGCGCAUUAAGCUCUGUGUUUUUUGCGUGGCAGUUGUUUGACAGUUUUGUUGGCAUAUCACAAAGUCAAAAUGUACCUUUGACCGUCGACGGUGCACAAGGAGACGGCCCACAAGUCCGGGCUGAAGCGCGCAAGCUGGGGAAUGUAGUCGGCCACCUGCAGGAAGAGUUCCCGUUCGUUCAUGUGGCGGCAAAACGGUUGGAAGUCGGGAAUGACGAAUUUCUUCCGAAAGGCUUGAAGCCCACUUGACCCCAUUGACCUUUGCUUAUCAUGAGGGCGGCGGUCCGGUCCCAAGCAUAUGAACCACUACGAAACGCACUCCCUCUAUCGCAAGGCCAACACAAACUAAUGCUUUCACUUUGAUGGAAAAGGGGGCGGAGCUUAGUCUGGCUACUUGCUGAGCUCCAAUUUAUUAAAAAUAAAAAAAAGCAAAUCAUGAA